UACAGAGGGUGCGAGCGUUAAUCGGAAUUACUGGGCGUAAAGCGUGCGUAGGCGGUCCUGUAAGUCGGAUGUGAAAGCCCCGGGCUCAACCUGGGAAUUGCAUUCGAGACUGCAUGGCUUGGGUGCGGAAGAGGGGAGUGGAAUUUCCGGUGUAGCGGUGAAAUGCGUAGAUAUCGGAAGGAACACCAGUGGCGAAAGCGGCUCCCUGGACCGACACUGACGUUCAGGCACGAAAGCGUGGGGAGCAAACAGG
rnacentral:rRNA from 1 species